rfam:Helianthus annuus linkage group 10, whole genome shotgun sequence.
UUCUCCCUGAAAUGCGUUGAGGCGCAACAGUUGACUGGACAUUUACGGGUAAAGUACUGUUUCGGUGCGGGCCGUGAGAGCGGUACCAAAUCGAGGCAAACUCUUAAUACUAGAUAUGACCUCAAAAUAACAGGGGCCAAGGUCGGCUAGUGAGACGAUGGGGGAUAAGCUUCAUCGUCGAGAGGGAACAGCUCGGAUCACCAGCUAAGGCCCCUAAGUGACCGCUCAGUGAUAAAGGAGGUAGGAGUGUAGAGACAACCACGAGGUUUGCCUAAAAGUAGCCACCCUUGAAAGAGUGCUUAAUAACUCAUUGAUCGAGCGCUCUUGCGCCGAAGAUGAACGGGGCUAAGUGAUCUGAAUAAGCUGUGGGAUGUAAAAAUACAUCGGUAGUGAUAAAGGAGGUACCGCUCCCCCUUAGAGUGAAGCACCCGCGCGAGCAGUAGUGGACGAAGCAGAAGCG